GAAAGUAAUUAUUUAUUUAUAAGGAAUAUUUUAAGUGUGUUAUUAAUUAAAAUAAUAUUAAUGUAAAAGUUUUAGUAUAAUUUAUAGAAAAAAUUUGUUUAAUUAUAGUGAAUUACGUAUUGUAAAAUAAUAUUGAAAUAUUUUGAAAUUUUUUUUAUUUAAAAGUUGUUUUAAUUUUGUGUACCUUUUGUAUCAGGGUUUAUUAAUUAAUUUUUAUUUAUAUAUAAAUUUCUCGAAUUGGAAGGAUUUAAUGAAUUAUAGAAAAUUUUACGUAUUAAAGUGAUUUUAAAUGAUUUAUUGGAAAUGAAAUGUUAUUCGAAUUUUAAUAUAUCUAGUUUUUUAAGAAGUAAAUUUAAUUUAUAUGAUAUUAAUAUUUGGUUUAUUUAGUAAAUUAGUUGUUUAAUAUUAUAAGUAUUUUAAGGGAUAAGCUUUAAUUUAUUAGUUAUAAUUGAUUUAUAUAGGUUUAAUUGUAGAUUUAGGAAUGGUUAACAAUAAAAAUUUUGUUUUAAUUUAUUAAUAAAUAAGGAAAAUUUAUGUUUAAUUUAAGUUAUAUAUUAAAAUAUAAGUUAUAAUAGUAAAAAAUUUAGUUAUAAUGAUAAAAUUAGUAUAAAAUUUUGUUUUAAUAUCUUAAUUUAAGAAGAUUAAUUUAAGGAAUUCGGCAAAUAAAAAACUCACCUGUUUAACAAAAACAUGUCUUUUUGAUUAAUAAUUUAAAGUCUGGCCUGCCCACUGAAAUUUUUAAAGGGCCGCGGUAUUUUGACUGUGCAAAGGUAGCAUAAUCAUUAGUCUUUUAAUUGGAGGCUUGAAUGAAGGGUUGGAUGAGGUUUUAACUGUCUCAAAUUAAUAAAUAGAAUAAUUUAAUUUUUAAGUCAAAAAGCUUAAAUUUAAUUAAUAGACGAGAAGACCCUAUAGAUUUUUAUAUUUAAUUUUGUUUGUUUAAUGAAGUUUAAUUAAUUACAAAUAAAUUUAAGUAUUUUGUUGGGGUGACAAAAAAAUUUAAGUAACUUUUUUAGGUUUUUCCAUUAAUUUAUGUAUAAUUGAUCCAUUAAUUAUGAUUAAAAGAUUAAAAUACCUUAGGGAUAACAGCGUAAUUUUUUUGGAGAGUUCAUAUCGAUAAAAAAGUUUGCGACCUCGAUGUUGAAUUAAAGAUAAAUUUAGGUGCAGAAAUUUAAAGUUUUGGUCUGUUCGACCAUUGGAUCUUUACAUGAUUUGAGUUCAAACCGGCGUGAGCCAGGUUGGUUUCUAUCUUUAAUAAGUUAAAAUAUUUUAGUACGAAAGGACCAAAUAUUUAAUAAAAUAUUUUUAUGUUGAGUAAAAUUAUU
rnacentral:rRNA from 1 species